rnacentral:rRNA from 1 species
CCCUGCCCUUUGUACACACCGCCCGUCGCUCCUACCGAUUCGAGUGAUCCGGUGAGCCUUUUGGACCGAGGUAGCUUGCUGCUUUGGAAAAUCAAGCAAACCACGUCACUUAGAGGAAGGAGAAGUCG